rnacentral:rRNA from 1 species
GUGAGGAAUAUUGGUCAAUGGGCGAGAGCCUGAACCAGCCAAGUCGCGUGAAGGAAGAAGGAUCUAUGGUUCGUAAACUUCUUUUGCAGGGGAAUAAAGUGCGGGACGUGUCCUGUUUUGUAUGUACCCUGAGAAUAAGGAUCGGCUAACUCCGUGCCAGCAGCCGCGGUAAUACGGAGGAUCCGAGCGUUAUCCGGAUGUAUUGGGUUUAAAGGGUGCGUAGGUGGUUUGAUAAGUCAGCGGUGAAAGUUUGCAGCUUAACUGUAAAAAUGCCGUUGAAACUGUCGGACUUGAGUGUAAAUGAGGUAGGCGGAAUGCGUGGUGUAGCGGUGAAAUGCAUAGAUAUCACGCAGAACUCCGAUUGCGAAGGCAGCUUACUAAGCUACAACUGACACUGAAGCACGAAAGCGUGGGGAUCAAACAGGAUUAGAAACCCCAGUAGUCC